GAGUUUGAUCAUGGCUCAGAUUGAACGCUGGCGGUAUGCUUAACACAUGCAAGUCGAACGGUAACAUGAAAGAGCUUGCUCUUUUGAUGACGAGUGGCGGACGGGUGAGUAACACGUGGGAAUCUACCGAGUAGCGGGGGAUAGCCCGGAGAAAUCCGGAUUAAUACCGCAUGUGCACUACGGUGUAAAGGGGGCCUCUUCUUGAAAGCUUCCACUAUUCGAUGAGCCUGCGUCAGAUUAGCUAGUUGGUGGGGUAAUGGCCUACCAAGGCGACGAUCUGUAGCUGGUCUGAGAGGAUGAUCAGCCACACUGGGACUGAGACACGGCCCAGACUCCUACGGGAGGCAGCAGUGGGGAAUAUUGGACAAUGGGGGCAACCCUGAUCCAGCAAUGCCGCGUGUGUGAAGAAGGCCUGCGGGUUGUAAAGCACUUUCAGUAGAGAAGAAAAGCCUCGGGUUAAUACCCCGGAGUCUUGACGUAACCUACAGAAGAAGCACCGGCUAACUCCGUGCCAGCAGCCGCGGUAAUACGGAGGGUGCGAGCGUUAAUCGGAAUUACUGGGCGUAAAGCGCGCGUAGGCGGCUAGGUCAGUCGAAUGUGAAAGCCCCGGGCUUAACCUGGGAAUUGCACUCGAUACUGCCUGACUAGAGUAUGGGAGAGGGAAGUGGAAUUUCCGGUGUAGCGGUGAAAUGCGUAGAUAUCGGAAGGAACACCAGUGGCGAAGGCGACUUCCUGGCCCAAUACCGACGCUGAGGUGCGAAAGCGUGGGUAGCGAACAGGAUUAGAUACCCUGGUAGUCCACGCCGUAAACGAUGUCUAUUAGCUGUUGGGUAUAUUAAGAUACUUAGUGGCGCAGCAAACGCGAUAAAUAGACCGCCUGGGGGAGUACGGCCGCAAGGUUAAAACUCAAAUGAAUUGACGGGGGGCCCCCACAAACGGGGGGAGCAUGUGGGUUUAAUUCGAUGCAACGCCGAGAAACCUUUCCAGGUCUUUGACAUCCACAAGAACUUUUCCCAAAAAGAGAUUGGUGGCCUUCCGGGAAAUCCUUAAAAAAGAGGUUGCAUGUGGUGUUUGUCAACUCUCUGUCCUGUGAAAGAUUG
rnacentral:rRNA from 1 species